rnacentral:sRNA from 1 species
AUUCCAGUGACUAGGCAAAGGAACCCAAGACAGGAGACCUCAUAGCACAGCCUUAUCCAUAGCCCUGAGAUUAAUCAACUUGGACUCUAGAGAUGACUGAAAACAGGCUUCGUCUAAGGAUGGGUGGCUUGUUAUUUAGGGGAAAGAGGGCCAGGAUAGGGGUAGAUUGAUAGUCAGAGACUAACAGAGUUAAGCAAGCCCUCCUAUUUAAGACAGAAUUUAAGACAGAAUCCUAUUUCCCAUUGAUAUCUUUCUUUAUAUCCAUACCAGCCCCACCCCGUUCCACCCUGUCCCUGCCAUCCACCUCUUUUGUUAUUCUAAAAAGUGUUCUCCACUCUUCAAGACACAGAGAAAAGCUGGUGGGCAAAUGGAACAGAGGAUUGGCUCUGAGGCUCUGCUUUGUAGUCUGGUUUCUAGCUGUGGUUGGUUACUCGCGCUUUGCUCACUGGAACUGUAGAAAUAACUGCUGGUGUCUCUUCUUCGUGACUCAGGAGAGACAAGUGAGCCACCGCUGCAAUUCUGAUGCUAAGCUACAGUCUCACCUUCAGGGGCUCAAAGCCACAUUGUCUCCCUGACCUUGGCUUCCCUUUCCCUUCAGUGUGAAUUUAUCACCUGCUUGAGCUCUUUUGCCACCAUCUUCUCCUGGCUUUGUAGCAGCCUCCCUCUCUUCUUUUUCCAUUCAGGAUUCCAGUCAUAAUAGGCACUGUUAGUUCUCUCCUGGACCAUCAUGAUAUUCCCAGUUCUCAUGCUCCAAGACAAGAUGAGAAUCAGAGAGGUACCACACAGCAAGGCUCCACACACAAUAUAAUAGAGACUUUGUUCUGUGUUCUGCUCAGCUCUCCCCAUUGGACAGAGUGCCGUACAUUCCUGCACCUGGAGAAAGAAUCAGUAAUAUUGCAAAAGAUGCUGGAGCAAAGCCCAGACGUGAGGACCAGACUAGGACAAGCUUUGAGGAGAUGAUCCAUCUAAGUUCAGAUGGUGUCAAUCUCCUGAUGAAUGCACAAAUCCUUUCAGAACUCGUAAGGCCCUAAGGGAGCUGCCCAUCUUUCUAAUCUCGACACAGAGUACUUUAUUCUCCUGUUAUUUUGGGUCCAUACAUAAGAUAACAUCAAGGAACUAUCUCUUCUGCCCAGCCUUCUCUUCUCGUGUUUCUCAGUCUAUUUCUUGACAUUUAAUUUUUAGUUGAACUACUUAUUCCUUAAUUAAUUGGCAUUGUUUUCUCUAUUUUUUUCCUGUACAAUUAUAUCUGUGUGAAACUUAUAUUUUGAUUGUGUCACUCUAUGUUUAUCAUCCACUGGUCAGGCAAGUGCUGUUACAGCCAGAAGCUGUCAUCUUCAUCAUGGUAUUGACAACAUCUAAAGCAGUGGCCAGGAACACCCAGCUGAGAGAUAGAAAAUGUACAGGACCUCAUGGAUGAACCGACAGGUGUUCUUUUGCAGAAACGUUCUUGGGAAACAACACAUUCUAUCUGCAAUCAUAAAUGAAAAUUACUAC